UUGAACGCUGGCGGCAGGCCUAACACAUGCAAGUCGAGCGGUAGCACAGAGAGCUUGCUCUCGGGUGACGAGCGGCGGACGGGUGAGUAAUGUCUGGGAAACUGCCUGAUGGAGGGGGAUAACUACUGGAAACGGUAGCUAAUACCGCAUAAUGUCGCAAGACCAAAGUGGGGGACCUUCGGGCCUCAUGCCAUCAGAUGUGCCCAGAUGGGAUUAGCUAGUAGGUGGGGUAACGGCUCACCUAGGCGACGAUCCCUAGCUGGUCUGAGAGGAUGACCAGCCACACUGGAACUGAGACACGGUCCAGACUCCUACGGGAGGCAGCAGUGGGGAAUAUUGCACAAUGGGCGCAAGCCUGAUGCAGCCAUGCCGCGUGUGUGAAGAAGGCCUUCGGGUUGUAAAGCACUUUCAGCGGGGAGGAAGGCGUUAAGGUUAAUAACCUUGGCGAUUGACGUUACCCGCAGAAGAAGCACCGGCUAACUCCGUGCCAGCAGCCGCGGUAAUACGGAGGGUGCAAGCGUUAAUCGGAAUUACUGGGCGUAAAGCGCACGCAGGCGGUCUGUCAAGUCGGAUGUGAAAUCCCCGGGCUCAACCUGGGAACUGCAUUCGAAACUGGCAGGCUAGAGUCUUGUAGAGGGGGGUAGAAUUCCAGGUGUAGCGGUGAAAUGCGUAGAGAUCUGGAGGAAUACCGGUGGCGAAGGCGGCCCCCUGGACAAAGACUGACGCUCAGGUGCGAAAGCGUGGGGAGCAAACAGGAUGAGAUACCCUGGUAGUCCACGCCGUAAACGAGGUCGAUUUGGAGGUUGUGCCCUUGAGGCGUGGCUUCCGGAGCUAACGCGUUAAAUCGACCGCCUGGGGAGUACGGCCGCAAGGUUAAAACUCAAAUGAAUUGACGGGGGCCCGCACAAGCGGUGGAGCAUGUGGUUUAAUUCGAUGCAACGCGAAGAACCUUACCUGGUCUUGACAUCCACAGAACUUAGCAGAGAUGCUUUGGUGCCUUCGGGAACUGUGAGACAGGUGCUGCAUGGCUGUCGUCAGCUCGUGUUGUGAAAUGUUGGGUUAAGUCCCGCAACGAGCGCAACCCUUAUCCUUUGUUGCCAGCGGUUAGGCCGGGAACUCAAAGGAGACUGCCAGUGAUAAACUGGAGGAAGGUGGGGAUGACGUCAAGUCAUCAUGGCCCUUACGACCAGGGCUACACACGUGCUACAAUGGCAUAUACAAAGAGAAGCGACCUCGCGAGAGCAAGCGGACCUCAUAAAGUAUGUCGUAGUCCGGAUUGGAGUCUGCAACUCGACUCCAUGAAGUCGGAAUCGCUAGUAAUCGUGGAUCAGAAUGCCACGGUGAAUACGUUCCCGGGCCUUGUACACACCGCCCGUCACACCAUGGGAGUGGGUUGCAAAAGAAGUAGGUAGCUUAACCUUCGGGAGGGCGCUUACCACUUUGUGAUUCAUGACUGGGGUG
rnacentral:rRNA from 1 species